UCCAUUGUAGCUUAGUUGGUAAAGAAUCUGCCUGCAAUGCAGGAGACCCAGGUUUGAUUCCUGGGUAGGGAA
rnacentral:tRNA from 1 species